UGGGGAAUAUUGGACAAUGGGCGAAAGCCUGAUCCAGCGAUUCUGCGUGGAGGAUGAAGCAUUACGGUGUGUAAACUCCUUUUCUGGUGGAAGACGAAUGACGGUACACCAGGAAUAAGCAUCGGCUAACUAUGUGCCAGCAGCCGCGGUAAUACAUAGGAUGCAAGCGUUAUCCGGAGUCACUGGGCGUAAAGGGUUCGCAGCCGGAUCUAUAAGUCUGUUUUCAAAUUCUUUCGCUUAACGAAAGGCAGGGAAUAGAUACUGUAGAUCUAGAGGUUUUUGGAGGGUAAUGGAAUUCCAGGUGGAGCGGUGAAAUGUGUUGAUAUCUGGAAGAAUGCCGAAAGCGAAAGCAGUUACCUACAAUGUACCUGACGGUCAGGAACGAAAGCUUGGGGAGCAA
rnacentral:rRNA from 1 species